rnacentral:snoRNA from 1 species
AAAACUAUACUUUCAGGGAUCAUUUCUGUAGUUCGUUACUAGAGAAUUUCUGUGAAUGUGUGGAGCACCAGAAACCACGAAGGGAGGCACAGUAUUCUCUCCUGAGUGUGAAACCAGCUCGUGGUGUUGCUUCCCUGCAACUGCUGUUUGCCAUUGGUGAUCCUUCUUUUCUUCCUUCAGGAGAGUAAGCGAGAGGAUGCAGUCUGGGUGGC